AGAGCGAACGCUGGCGGCAGGCCUAAAACAUGCAAGUCGAACGAACCCUUCGGGGUUAGUGGCGGACGGGUGAGUAACACGUGGGAACGUGCCUUUUGGUUCGGAACAACUCAGGGAAACUUGAGCUAAUACCGAAUGUGCCCUUCGGGGGAAAGAUUUAUCGCCAUUAGAGCGGCCCGCGUCUGAUUAGCUAGUUGGCGGGGUAAUGGCCCACCAAGGCAGUGAUCUGUAUCC
rnacentral:rRNA from 1 species